rnacentral:rRNA from 1 species
UACGAAGGGUGCAAGCGUUACUCGGAAUUACUGGGCGUAAAGCGUGCGUAGGUGGUUUGUUAAGUCUGAUGUGAAAGCCCUGGGCUCAACCUGGGAACGGCAUUGGAAACUGGCUUACUAGAGUGCGGUAGAGGGGUGUGGAAUUCCCGGUGUAGCAGUGAAAUGCGUAGAUAUCGGGAGGAACAUCUGUGGCGAAGCCGACACCCUGGACCAGCACUGACACUGAGGCACGAAAGCGUGGGGAGCAAACAGG